AUACGUGUGUGCCACCACGCCCAGCUUCAAAUGAAAAUAUUUAAUGAAAAGUAACAUGCUGGAUUUCUCCCUUCCUCUGGGCCUCACACGCUAGGAGGCCACCUCAUAAUACAAAAGAAAAAGGAAAAUCAGAAUUAUGCAACUUCAUGCAAUUACUGACUCAGACAAGCGUUAUUCAGGAUGUAAUAAACUCAGAUAACUGAAAUUCAUAUGGAAGUGUGCAUUUUAUUAUAAAAUAUAGCCAGAGCCACAGAUAAUGACAGCAAAUUCAAUCAAAAAGAGACUGGAAAGAUUCUACACACCUGAUUGAUCAUAAGAGCAGAAAAUAAAGAGAAAUAAAGAGA